rfam:Macaca mulatta chromosome 2, whole genome shotgun sequence.
GUGCUCACUUUGGCAGCAUGGGUACCAAAAUUGGAAUGAUACAGAGAAGAUCAGCAUGGCUCCUGAAUGAGGAUGACAAAAUAUGAAAAAGAAAAAGAAAAGCACAAAAGAUCU